rnacentral:rRNA from 1 species
AAUAGAUACCCGGGUAGUCCCAGCUGUAAACGAUGCAGACUCGGUGAUGAAUUGGCUUAUUGCUAAUUCAGUGCCGCAGGGAAGCCGUUAAGUUUGCCGCCUGGGGAGUACGGUCGCAAGACUGAAACUUAAAGGAAUUGGCGGGGGGAGCACCACAAGGGGGUGAAGCCUGCGGUUCAAUUGGAGUCAACGCCGGAAAUCUUACCGGGGGCGGACAGCAGAGUGAAGGUCAAGCUGAAGACUUUACCAGACAAGCUGAGAGGAGGUGCAUGGCCGUCGCCAGCUCGUGCCGUGAGGUGUCCUGUUAAGUCAGGUAACGAGCGAGAUCCCUGCCUCUAGUUGCUACCAUUAUUCUCAGGAGUAGUGGAGCUAAUUAGAGGGACCGCCGUCGCUGAGACGGAGGAAGGUGGGGGCUACGGCAGGUCAGUAUGCCCCGAAACCCUGGGCCACACGCGGGCUGCAAUGGUAAGGACAAUGAGUUCGAUUCCGAAAGGAGGAGGCAAUCUCGUAAAACCUUACCACAGUUAUGAUUGAGGGCU